GAUCAGCGGCCUGCGGCUCUCCAGAUGUUCAUGGACUUCGAUUCCCAUCAGCCCCUGCCAGCAUGGCCAAUUGGCCAUGCUGGCAGGGGUUGAUGGGAAGUGCUCAGUCCAUGGGCAUCUGGAGA